UGACGCCACAUCCUGACACAUGUCCUUCUCUCCCCAGGCUCGCACUCCAGCUGGUGGAGUAUCUGCGGGCGCCCAGACGCAGGCCGGCCUGGGGCUCAGCCGGCACACCCCCAGGCAGCAGAGAAGGUGACGCUGGGCCUUCAGUGACAGGACCAGAUGUUCUUCCAAGGGAGAUCCCGACGGGUUCUGGAUCAAAGUCCUGCAGGCCUUGCCUACUUCUUCCGAAGACAGGACUCCGGGCAGAGGUGCUGCUUCAAGUCCAUGCCCAUGGCCACCGUGUAUGUGCCCGCCGCGUCUCACUAGGUUACCCGCAGAGCCGAGCGUGCCCAUUUUACAAGGAAGGAGAUGGAGGAGGCCAGCGUGGCAGGAGAAAGGCUGGUCACUGAGUCAUGGGGCCACCCAGCGUGAGAUUCUGCUGACGGUUACUUUCUGCGGAGACCCCGUUCUCCUUUGAACUUGGUGACACUUCUCUCUCCCCCUGGGUGCUUCUGCUUCUCUGUCCAUCCCCUUGGGUGUUGGUGGUCUCCGUCUUCCUCGUUCCUCUUCUUGCCAUCUGGGUUCUGCUGCAGCAAUCUCGAGAAGCCCCAAGGCUUGCUCCACCGUCUGUCUCCCCGCUGAAGACCAGGAAACCUGAGCUCCUCACGGGACUUCACCGUGAUGCGACCCUGCAGAGAGAUUUUCCAGUUCAUAAUGAAUUAUGAACAAUAUAACAAAUGGGGAUUGGAAAGAGAAGCAUCAGAAAAUCUUCCCUCAUCCACUGUAGAAAUGAUGGCGCUGCAGUGCAUCUUGGCCGUGAGGGGAUUCAAUCUUUUUAGGAAAUUGCUGAAAGGUUGUACUACACGCUCAAGAGAGAAGGUAGUUGUAGGUUACAUUUGCCUGCAUCACAAUCACCAGUGGAAACUGGGACAUACGAACAUAUCCACAUAACCCUCCCACCCAGAGAAUCUGUGCACUUCACAAACGCCCCAGGUAACCUGGCACGUGUUCUUCCGCCAGGCUGACAGAAACACUGGCACUAGAUGGAAUCUCAGAUUCUGCCCCUUUUCGGGGUUUCAUUGUAUGAAAGUUCCCAUAACAUUGAAAGCAUUUCCCAUUGAAACCCACUGGGGGAAAAUGGCCUUGAACACUGAAAGGUAAUCUAUCUAAAGUACCUAUGUCAAAACCGAUUUCCACUGUAUGCUUAACCAUCCUCACUUUUCUUAUGUCCACUCCAGUGAGAAGGGUAGAGGUUCUGGGGGUACAGAUCAAGCUCAUGGGCAGUUCGGAAACUCAUUCCAUACAACAGUAGAAACGCCAGAGGCCUAGAGUCUCACCUCACAAAGUUAAGCUCAAGAAGGUGACACACGGAAUGGAAUGGAGCUUCUAACUUAAUAAUUAUGGCUGACAGAGAAGAUCAAGACCCACAAAGGAUGGCGAGGAAAAGCUUCAAAAGCAAGACACUCUAGUGGCCUUUUAUGACAUUGUGGGUGGCCUGUUGUGCUCAUU
rnacentral:lncRNA from 1 species